GUCGAUUUGGAGGUUGUGCCCUUGAGGCGUGGCUUCCGGAGCUAACGCGUUAAAUCGACCGCCUGGGGAGUACGNCCGCAAGGUUAAAACUCAAAUGAAUUGACGGGGGCCCGCACAAGCGGUGGAGCAUGUGGUUUAAUUCGAUGCAACGCGAAGAACCUUACCUGGUCUUGACAUCCACAGAAGUUUCCAGAGAUGGGAAUGUGCCUUCGGGAACUGUGAGACAGGUGCUGCAUGGCUGUCGUCAGCUCGUGUUGUGAAAUGUUGGGUUAAGUCCCGCAACGAGCGCAACCCUUAUCCUUUGUUGCCAGCGGUCCGGCCGGGAACUCAAAGGAGACUGCCAGUGAUAAACUGGAGGAAGGUGGGGAUGACGUCAAGUCAUCAUGGCCCUUACGACCAGGGCUACACACGUGCUACAAUGGCGCAUACAAAGAGAAGCGACCUCGCGAGAGCAAGCGGACCUCAUAAAGUGCGUCGUAGUCCGGAUUGGAGUCUGCAACUCGACUCCAUGAAGUCGGAAUCGCUAGUAAUCGUGAAUCAGAAUGUCACGGUGAAUACGUUCCCGGGCCUUGUACACACCGCCCGUCACAACCAUGGGAGUGGGUUGNAAAAGAAGUAGGUAGCUUA
rnacentral:rRNA from 1 species